AAUCUAAAUCCUCCAAACAGAUAUCUGAAGAAGUGAGGACCGGCCAGAAUGUCCUCACUUUACAAAAAUGUCCUCACUCUGAAGUAGAGCUGCGAAAAUGAAUCGAUUCGUUGUCAACUAUUAAAGGGGACUUAUAAUGAAAAACUCACUUUUUCAGUGCUUGUGCUCAUCCAUCUGGGUAUCUAGAGUGUCCACCAACUCACAAACUGUGAAAUAAGACGACCCAGUCUGUUUUUUGUGGGCUGUCUAUAUUAGAAAACAUGUGAUUCAACAAGCUGUUCAGAUUCGGCUCCCCUUUCCUAUGUCACAUGCAGGCUCAUUAGAAUAUAUGAGAACUACCUUUGCAAGGGUGCGCCAUAUUUUCCUCACAAGCCAAUCAGAGCAGACUGAUCAUUUUUUAGCAAGGCGCU